UGGGGAGUACGGUCGCGAGAUUAAAACUCAAAUGAAUUGACGGGGGCCCGCACAAGCGGUGGAUUAUGUGGAUUAAUUCGAUGCAACGCGAAAAACCUUACCUGGCCUUGACAUGUACCGAAUUUGGGAGAGAUUCCUUAGUGCUCGAAAGAGAACGGUAACACAGGUGCUGCAUGGCUGUCGUCAGCUCGUGUCGUGAGAUGUUGGGUUAAGUCCCGCAACGAGCGCAACCCUUGCCAUUAAUUGCCAUCAUUUAGUUGGGCACUUUAAUGGGACUGCCGGUGACAAACCGGAGGAAGGUGGGGAUGACGUCAAGUCCUCAUGGCCCUUAUGGCCAGGGCUUCACACGUAAUACAAUGGUCGGUACAGAGGGUUGCCAACCCGCGAGGGGGAGCCAAUCCCAGAAAGCCGAUCGUAGUCCGGAUUGUAGUCUGCAACUCGACUACAUGAAGUCGGAAUCGCUAGUAAUCGCGGAUCAGCAUGUCGCGGUGAAUACGUUCCCGGGCCUUGUACACACCGCCCGUCACACCAUGGGAGUGGGUUUUACCAGAAGUAGGUAGUCUAACCGUAAGGAGGACGCUUACCACGGUAGUAUUCAUGACUGGGGUGAAGUCGUAACAAGGUAACC
rnacentral:rRNA from 1 species